GACGAACGCUGGCGGCGUGCCUAACACAUGCAAGUCGAGCGGUAAGGCCCUUUCGGGGGUACACGAGCGGCGAACGGGUGAGUAACACGUGGGUGACCUGCCCUUAGCUCUGGGAUAAGCCUGGGAAACUGGGUCUAAUACCGGAUAUGACUCCAUAACGCAUGUUGUGGGGUGGAAAGCCUUGUGCGGCUAGGGAUGGGCCCGCGGCCUAUCAGCUUGUUGGGUGGGGUGAUGGCCACCGAAGGCGACGACGGGUAGCCGGCCUGAGAGGGCGACCGGCCACACUGGGACUGAGACACGGCCCAGACUCCUACGGGAGGCAGCAGUGGGGAAUCUUGCGC
rnacentral:rRNA from 1 species